UUAUGAGUGCAAAGUUUCAUUUUUAUCUGUAUGUCUGAUGUAUUAUAAUAUAUUUAUGUUCAUGGUUAAGUGAUCUCUGCUUUUAGAGAUAAAUCAUGAAAGACCAAAUGUAUGACUUUAUUCUUAUUAGUUACUCGUCAAAACCCAACUUGUUGAGCAAGGUUGCUUAUGGUCUGCUAUGCUUUUACAUCCAUUUUGUAAAGAGUUUCAUUCUUUUUUCUUGAUGUUUUGCUGUUUGGUUGAUAGGUACAUUUACCUCCCACAUUGGCCGGUAAUAUAAUUCUUCUCCAUCUGUAAUUGUAAUUGGUGGGAGGUAUUUCAGGCUUAGCGGUUGCACGUGUCCUCCAGAAUGCAUCUUUCAAGGUGAUAUUGUUGGAAUCAAGAGAUAGAAUUGGUGGACAUAUUCAAACAGACUACUCGUUUGGUUGCCCUGUUGACAUGGAAGUAUUAUGGAGAUUGUACUUUCUGGUGGCCAUGGACUAAUGGUUCAAGGUUACGUUAUUACCCUGUAACACAGGCUUUGGCUAAAAUUACUCUAAUUCAAAGGUCAACAUUUCCUUUAUUGUUUUUUAGUUCAAACGCGUACAUUUUAAGAGGAUAUUUUCGUAAUUUAAACGUGAAGU